UGGCACGGCUGCUUUAUAGAUGGGAAGAGAGUUCUGCUGCAAAAAAUAUUAAUGAAUUGACUCAUUAAUUAGGUGAACAAAGAAGAGAGAAAAUUGGAGCAAAUAUAGGAGUGGAUGCCACCAGAAACUUUUUUGGGGAUAAGAAGACAGUUUUAUAACAUCAAGAAGAAUGGAAAAGCUGCAAGGCAUGCACACUCAAGAUGCUGUGCUCCUGGAAAGUUCUGGAUGGGUUCCAGGCAAUGCUUGGUGGCAAAGAAAGAUGAAGGUCUUGGAAAGAAGAGGAAAUAAGCCCUCAUCCUUCAAUAUUCCUGUUUCUGUGAGCUGGGAAUGCCACUGGAGCAUGGGAAGGACAGAAUAAUGUGUUCCUGCAGCAUCACGUGUCUGAGGGAAGGAUGCGAUCUCACCUCAUGCAUAAAAUUAGUUUAAUGGAACAGCAGGAAUGGGAGGGAAUAUUGGCUUUGCUGUGCUCGUCUGGGGGGGUGCCCUGGUGAUAACCUGGAUAAUACAAUCUGAUUUUGGCCUUGAGUCUGCUCCCUUGGAUUAUCACAUUUCUUCAAGGACCAAAAGCUGUGCUGGUGAUUCAGACUUGGAGGAGAAUGUCUUUUUUAGUGGCAAUUCAGCAAGCUGUGGGGGAUCUCACAGGAGCCCUUUUGCUCACGAAAUUCCAGUGCCCUUUUGGAUGGACCUGGAGCCAAGUGCUGCUGCUGGCUGGGGAAGGCAGAGUUUCAUCUCCUGUCAUUUUCCUCCUAUGGCUGGCAGUGAGAAGGUGAGAGUGAAACUCCCAGGAUUAUGGCUUGGGCCUCACUGGGAAUGCUGAAGAGAGAGAAGAACAAAUCCAUGCUUUGAAGGGCUUGAAUCUGAGCCAUCAGCAUCCCUGGCCAGUGUCCAGCACACCAGGUGGUUACAAGGACAAUGUUCUGGUUUUAGACCGCCACAGCUCCCCUGGCUGGCCCAGGGCAAGUGUAUUUGUCUGGAUUCCUGGCCUGGAAUUCGAAUUCCACACUAAGAAGGCAAUGCUCAGGAAGAGGAUGCUGUCUCCAGAGGAUGGAGGUGUUUUGCUCCUGACUUCCCAGCCACUCUUGGUCAGUUCCUGGGCUCCCCAAAAGGGUCAGGGUGGUGCAGCCACCUUAGGAAGGUGAUAAUUAAAUUGUCACAGACCUGAUUGUCUUCUUUUUACUGCUUAAUUUCCAUGGGAAGAGGUAAUAAAUUGCACAGCUCUCUUGUUUUUCUGAAUAAAGCUUUUCCUAGGUGAUGAUGCUUCUCUGUCAGGCUUGGAAAAGCUGAGGCAUGUGCCCAUGGUAAAGCAAAGCCUUUAUCUGCCUUAAAGGGUUUCAGAUUAGCUUCAUGUUCUCCCUCACUGUUUUGUUUUUCAAGCCAAUUACUGCCCUGCUGCCUACACCAGGCACAUUCCAGCCUGGAAGUUCUUUGUCGAGCUAAAAAAGACUUUCUCAGAGGAGCAGCAAACAGAGAGUGAGCAGCAGGUUGCAGAAUUAAUCAAGAAAUCAUUUAGCACCUG